rnacentral:rRNA from 1 species
AGAGUUUGAUCCUGGCUCAGGAUGAACGCUAGCGACAGGCUUAACACAUGCAAGUCGAGGGGCAGCAUAGAAGUAGCAAUACUUGGUGGCGACCGGCGCACGGGUGAGUAACGCGUAUGCAACCUACCUAUCAGAGGGGAAUAACCCGGCGAAAGUCGGACUAAUACCGCAUAAAACAGGGGCACCGCAUGGUGAUAUUUGUUAAAGAAAUUCGCUGAUAGAUGGGCAUGCGUUCCAUUAGGUAGUUGGUGAGGUAACGGCUCACCAAGCCGACGAUGGAUAGGGGAACUGAGAGGUUGGUCCCCCACACUGGUACUGAGACACGGACCAGACUCCUACGGGAGGCAGCAGUGAGGAAUAUUGGUCAAUGGGCGGGAGCCUGAACCAGCCAAGUCGCGUGAAGGAAGAAGGAUCUAUGGUUCGUAAACUUCUUUUGCAGGGGAAUAAAGUGCAGGACGUGUCCUGUUUUGUAUGUACCCUGAGAAUAAGGAUCGGCUAACUCCGUGCCAGCCGCGGC